rnacentral:rRNA from 1 species
AACGGGUGAGUAACACGUGGGUAACCUGCCCAUCAGAAGGGGAUAACACUUGGAAACUGGUGCUAAUACCGUAUAACAAUCAAAACCGCAUGGUUUUGAUUUGAAAGGCGCUUUCGGGUGUCGCUGAUGGAUGGACCCGCGGUGCUUAGCUAGUUGGUGAGGUAACGGCUCACCAAGGCCACGAUGCAUAGCCGAUCUGAGAGGGUGAUCGGCCACAUUGGGACUGAGCCAGGUCCAAACUCUCCACCGGAUGCAGCAGUAGGGAAUCUUCGGCAAUGGACGAAAGUCUCACCGAGCAACGCCGCGUGAGUAAAGAAGGUUUUCGGAUCGUAAAACUCUGUUGUUAGAGAAGAACAAGGAUGAGAGUAACUGUUCAUCCCUUGACUGUAUCUUACCAGAAAGCCACGGCUAACUACGUGCCAGCAGCCGCGGUAAUACGUAGGUGGCAAGCGUUGUCCGGAUUUAUUGGGCGUAAAGCGAGCGCAGGCGGUUUCUUAAGUCUGAUGUGAAAGCCCCCGGGUCAACCGGGGAGGGGCAUUGGAAACUGGGAGACUUGAGUGCAGAAGAGGAGAGUGGAAUUCCAUGUGUAGCCGUGAAAUG